CCUACGGGUGGCAGCAGUAGGGAAUAUUGCUCAAUGGGGGAAACCCUGAAGCAGCGACGCCGCGUGGGUGAAGAAGUAAUUCGUUUCGUAAAGUUCUAUCAUCAGAGAAGAUAAUGACGGUACCUGACUAAUAAGCCCCGGCUAACUACGUGCCAGCAGCCGCGGUAAUACGUAGGGUGCAAGCGUUACACGGAUUUACUGGGCGUAACGGGCGCGUAGACGGGGCACCAAGUCUGGAGUGAAAUCCCGUGGCUUAACUGUGGAACUGCUUUUGAAACUGGCAAACUAGAGUACGGGAGUGGUAAGUGGAAUUCUUAGUGUAGCGGUAAAAUGCGUAGAGAUCAAGAGGAAUACUGGUGGCGAAGGCGACUUACUGGAACGUAACUGACGUUGAGGCGCGAAAGCGUGGGGAGCAAACAGGAUUAGAUACCCCAGUAGUC
rnacentral:rRNA from 1 species